rnacentral:lncRNA from 1 species
UGAGAACCGAACUGUCAUCACGCUGCUGUGCAGGUUUCUGGAAGCGGAGAUAGAGCGGCUUUCCCCCAGUUGGCUCGUUGCGUGUGUGUGCUGUAACCGGGCAGAUCCAUGAGCUGCAGUUUCUGCCGUUCCCUCCAUUUUAUACACAAUUGUUUGGAGGAUGUGGGGCUUUCAUCUAUCAGGGUUAUAAUGGCAUAUCUCAAAACAGAUCUUCUCUCCAAGGCAGGAGCGGUGCUGGUGUUUCUGAAACAGAAGGAAUCCUGACAAAAGGGAACUUGAGGGAGAGAUGGUUGGAUGGUUACCACAGGGGGUCAUGAUGUGAAGACAAAUGGCAGGAGUUUUGACCAGUCCACUGCAGCUGAGGCAAACGAGAAAGGCAACAAGGCCAUCAUCUAUCCUUCAGAAACAGGCCUUGUCUUCUUCUAUGGCAGGACCCAAGUGGCAUAAAACAUGCAUUAAGACAGAUGGAGAUGUGCAGAAGACUGAACCGGAUGCAAACUGUCUCAGAAGGAAGGGACCAGAUGUAUUGCUUGGGAAACAACUUCUGCCAGUAAUUCACUGUGUACUCCUUGAUGUCAACCAGCCUCCAAAAAAGAAUGAUCACCUAGCCAGCCGAGUCAAGACAAAUGAGGCUGCUCAGAAGAUUGCACACAUGUUUAUGUAGGGAAUUGGGGAAUAAGAACUAUGUGGGAGAUGGAUUAUAAAAACUUGUAGAACAGCAAUAUUACUUCCUUGGCAGGUUCAUUUCCACCAUCAAAUAAAUACACAGUCUGCCGGAAUGUUUACCCCGGG